AUUUCAAUAGAAAGUUUGGUAUAAUACGGUGGAGGGAGGAAAGUCAUCCCAUACCCAGGUCGGGCUCAUUUCUUGGACGUCCCUAUCAAACCAUCCCUUUCUUCCUCUGUUUCUAGUUCUCUACUUUCUUCUUAUUCCUCUCCUUUAUGAAGUGAAUUUGAACCCUAUCAAAAUUCAAUCAAUCUGUCCUCGUUUACUCGCUAAACUUAUCUCAAUGGAUUCUCAAGUUUUGGUAGCGCUCGCUCUUUCUCUUGUGGGUGGAUUGAGCACUUCUAUAGGUGCACUUUUUGUAAUUCUUAAUCAGGCUCCCAAUCUAAAGAUGCUUGGGCUUUUACAGGUGAUUCUGAGAGGUUGAACCCUCUAUAUCUGAAGAAAAAAACUGGUUUAUUUUCCCUUUCUUUUUUUUUUUCAUUCUGUGUUGAGCUGUUGAGAAGGAAAGAGUGCAUCUUAUGACUGCAGCACCAAUCUUGCAUGGUAGUUGCUUAUGAAGUUAUUUUCUUUACUCAUAACUGUAUCUUACCAAAUUUUGCUCAUGUUGAAUUUCCAUAUCCAGCAUAUGUUUAAUUAUUAUAGAGUGUUGAGACUUGGGAGACUGAUUGAAGAAUUGAUUUACCAUGGAUGAUAUAAACUUGAUAUUAAUUUCUCUCUUUCUCUGUCUCUUGGCAGUAAACUUGUCUAAACCUCAUUGUGCAGGGCUUUGCUGCAGGCCUAAUGUUGAGCAUAUCAUUUCUAGAUCUGGCUCAUAAUGCUAUGAACUCAAUUGGCUUCUUAAAAGCCAACCUUUGGGUUAGCAAUACCUUUCAAUUUUUUGAAUCCUAACAAAUUUCUCAUAAGAUUCUAUUUAUUUCUAAUUUCUUGAUGGAACAGUUUUUUGGAGGUGUUGUAUUCUUCGCUAUUGUUGCAAGGUUUAUCCCAGAACCAACAGUAAUCCCUGGUUCAGAUACUAAAAGUAAAAAGGUUUUAGAUUAUCUGCUCUCAUAAUCCAUAAGUAUUUGAUUGCUCAAGCUGAUGUUGGCUGCUUUUUUAUGUGCUGGGAUGCUAAAACGUGUAUUGAUGAUUUGAUGUUACGUGUUGGAGCAGACAAAUGGGGAUGAUGGAGGAAAGGACAUCAUGAAAAAGCAUCGUCGCCAGGUUUUAUUUAGUGGCAUUAUUACAGCUAUUGGCAUAAGCUUGCACAAUUUUCCAGAGGGAAUGGCAGUGUUCCUUGGUUCAAUGAAGGUACUGAAUGAAUUUUAUGUGAUACAAUUUUAAUAAAACUGAAGUAUAUCCUUGCAGUUAAAGCCUUGGAUCUUUCUCUUUUUGAUAGUUCUAAGGUGUUCAGUUUAGCAUCUUCCUCAUGCCCAGUACUUUAGCUAUAGUGGUUUGAAUGCCAUUUUUAAUUAUCUCAGGCACUAAAUAUUUCUUUGUUUAAUGAAUUGUUUAUCCCAAGUUGAUGUGCUGAAGAUAAAAAAAACUGGUUUAAUAUGUAGAUCUUCCUGUUUGCAAUGAGGUUGAAUUAUAGAUUUUAUAUAAUCAAGGAGUUGCUAGGUUCUAAUUUUCACACUGCACAUUGUUCAUUUCGCUAGCAGAAAGGACCAGAUUUAUUACUUUCUGAUUACCAUGAUGGUUUUGCUACCUAGCUCUUCCUAGAAUUUGCUUUUCAACUGCCAUAAUUGCUCUCUUUGCACCAUUAAAUUCAAUAACCACAAUUCACUAAAAUACUUCAGUAUUCCAGGGGCAAAUGGCAGUCAAUGGUUGCUGUUGUGAACUUCUGAUCUUGAGACCCAAAAGCACUAAUACUUAUUCUUGUGGAACUAACUUCUGCUGUUUGGAAAUGUACUUCCUUUGUAGGGCCUGCGAGUUGGUCUUAAUUUGGCCUUGGCUAUUGCUUUGCACAACAUUCCAGAGGUAUGCUUUCUCAUAUCCUUAAUGUGGCCCCUUUUUUGUACAAUGGAAUGAUUAGUAUGCCUUAUGCUAUAAGUUCUAGCAAGUGGUUGCUGUCUGCAAUAUUUGAUUAAUAUGAACUUGAGCCAGGAAUUGUUUAUUAUAUAAACUCGUUGAAUACUACAUUUCACUGCUUUUGCUCAGAUAAGUAAUUUUCUGUUAGAUAAAUAACUACAUUUUAAAAAAUUUUCCCUCUUGUCCUAACUUUUUAUGUGUUAAUUGCACAGGGUGUUGCUGUUGCAUUGCCUGUCUAUUUUGCAACACAAAGGUGAGAAUGAGAAUUUCCAGAGGAACUAUUAGAGUUAAUCCUUCUAAAUUACUGAUGAAUUUCCUAUAAAAAAAAUCUCCCAAAAAAAAAAGCAUUAGAUCAAAUGCAUGUUUUAAGUGGUCAGGGACUCAGUGGCAAGAUCUGUCAAUGGUCUGUGUUAUGUUGCUACAGUAUUCUUUCGAAACUAAUUAUCAGCUAACAUUAGCUGGAUUUUGUGCAUACAUCUCAACAGAUCAGGAUUUAUUUCAUUGAGAAGAUAGCUAACAGCUUGAUUUAUGUACCUGUCUC
rnacentral:misc_RNA from 1 species